rnacentral:rRNA from 1 species
UGGGGAAUAUUGCACAAUGGGCGCAAGCCUGAUGCAGCCAUGCCGCGUGUGUGAAGAAGGCCUUCGGGUUGUAAAGCACUUUCAGCGGGGAGGAAGGCGGUGAGGUUAAUAACCUCAUCGAUUGACGUUACCCGCAGAAGAAGCACCGGCUAACUCCGUGCCAGCAGCCGCGGUAAUACGGAGGGUGCAAGCGUUAAUCGGAAUUACUGGGCGUAAAGCGCACGCAGGCGGUUGAUUGAGUCAGAUGUGAAAUCCCCGGGCUUAACCCGGGAAUUGCAUCUGAUACUGGUCAGCUAGAGUAUUGUAGAGGGGGGUAGAAUUCCAUGUGUAGCGGUGAAAUGCGUAGAGAUGUGGAGGAAUACCGGUGGCGAAGGCGGCCCCCUGGACAAAGACUGACGCUCAGGUGCGAAAGCGUGGGGAGCAAACAGG